rnacentral:rRNA from 1 species
UAAAGGAAGCGAUUCCGGCUACGGAUGGUCAUGCGUCGCAUUAGCUUGUGGGCGGGGUAACGGCCCACCAAGGCGACGAUGCGUAGGGGUUCUGAGAGGAAGGUCCCCCACACUGGUACUGAGACACGGACCAGACUCCUACGGGAGGCAGCAGUGAGGAAUAUUGGUCAAUGGCCGCAGGGCUGAACCAGCCAAGUCGCGUGAGGGAUGACGGUCCUAUGGAUUGUAAACCUCUUUUGUCAGGGAGCAAAGGGCGCCACGUGUGGCGUUUUGCGAGUACCUGAAGAAAAAGCAUCGGCUAACUCCGUGCCAGCAGCCGCGGUAAUACGGAGGAUGCGAGCGUUAUCCGGAUUUAUUGGGUUUAAAGGGUGCGCAGGCGGAAUGUCAAGUCAGCGGUAAAAUUUCGGGGCUCAACCCCGUCGUGCCGUUGAAACUGGCGUUCUUGAGUGAGCGAGAAGUAUGCGGAAUGCGUGGUGUAGCGGUGAAAUGCAUAGAUAUCACGCAGAACUCCGAUUGCGAAGGCAGCAUACCGGCGCUCAACUGACGCUCAUGCACGAAAGCGUGGGUAUCGAACAGGAUUAGAUACCCUGGUAGUCCACGCAGUAAACGAUGAAUACUAACUGUCCGGGCAGAAUGAUGCCUGG